GUCCACGCUCACGUGCUCAUCCAACAGGACGUCUUCCCAGUACACGACGGUGCGAUUCAGGGAGGCGAUGUAGGGCAGCGUGGAGUUCACGAAGAUCUCCAGAAGUUGGCUGAGGGUUCCGUUGUUGAUUAGGAAGGUUUGGACCGUCGGAUCGGUCUUCCAGCAGCCGGGGACGACCUCGUCGGCGCCGGAGUGGUAGAAGUGGUCGGGGAAGAGGGCGGCGACGUCGCGGAUGACGUUUUUGAGGACUUGAUAGGUUUUGGGAUGGAGGGGGUUUAGCUGGCCGGUUCCCGGUUCGGAUGCGAGGCGGUCCGCCCAUUCGACGUCGGCUGGCCACCAGAACAUGUCGACGCAUGCCACGAUUUCUGGGUUGAAAGCUACUGGAGCAGGAAGUUGAAUUGAAGUUCUGGAUAAUUAAAAGGUGGAGAGGUUCGAUCAAUGAAGAUUGAUUUGUAAAAGGCAAGUUCUCUGAAGAGUAAUCUGCUCAUGGAAUCUAAUUCAGAAGUGAAGAUGCAUACGGGAAUUGAUAUUGAUCGGAUAUUAAUCUAGUUUGAAAAGUAAAGCUCUUUCACAGCAGGAAGAGGCUCUGGUAGGGCAAUUCAUAACCAAGGCUCCUCCAUUUUCACAUCUUCCAUCGAUUAAAUUGAAAAGAUUUGGAAGAAGGGUGGGCAAGUUGAUAUUUUCUAUUCCUCUACAUAUUCUUAUAUGUUUAAAUUUUCUAAUUUGAAAGAUAGAAAGAGAUUGGAUGGUUGAGACUUGGUCCAUAGAAAGUAGUCCUAUGUUUCUGACAUAAUGUAGUCCUACUACUGAAUUGAAUAAGAUAGAGUUAGAGAAAA